AGUCAACAUGCCCAGGGGACGUGGAUAACCUCGGGAAACUGAGGAUAAACCGCGAUAGGUCAUCACUUCUGGAAUGGGUAAUGACUUAAAUCUAUAUGGCCCCUGGAUUGGACUGCGGCCGAUCAGGCUGUUGGUGAGGUAAUGGCCCACCAAACCUGUAACCGGUACGGGCUCUGAGAGGAGGAGCCCGGAGAUGGGCACUGAGACAAGGGCCCAGGCCCUAUGGGGCGCAGCAGGCGCGAAACCUCCGCAAUAGGCGAAAGCUUGACAGGGUUACUCUGAGUGAUUUCCGUUAAGGAGAUCUUUUGGCACCUCUAAAAAUGGUGCAGAAUAAGGGGUGGGCAAGUCUGGUGUCAGCCGCCGCGGUAAUACCAGCACCCCGAGUGGUCGGGACGUUUAUUGGGCCUAAAGCAUCCGUAGCCGGUUCUACAAGUCUUCCGUUAAAUCCACCUGCUUAACAGAUGGGCUGCGGAAGAUACUAUAGAGCUAGGAGGCGGGAGAGGCAAGCGGUACUCGAUGGGUAGGGGUAAAAUCCGUUGAUCCAUUGAAGACCACCAGUGGCGAAGGCGGCUUGCCAGAACGCGCUCGACGGUGAGGGAUGAAAGCUGGGGGAGCAAACCGGAUUAGAUACCCGGGUAGUCCCAGCUGUAAACGAUGCAGACUCGGUGAUGAGUUGGC
rnacentral:rRNA from 1 species